UUAAAAUAUAUUCAACUAACUCAUUGAUAUACCAAUUAGAAAACAGAUUUAAAAUAUAUUCAACUAACAUCCAAACUCAGUUUAUUACAAUAUUCCACACAAUCACAAUAUAACCAUACAAUAUUCCACCAAUCACAAUACAACACAUAAAACGCUCAACAAGUAUAGGAACGUCUCCAACACCUUAUAGUGCCUUCAACCUGCAAAACAUCAACAUCCAUCCACAUAUUAACCAUUGAGUUGAGAUCAAUUCACCCCUUGACGGAAAUAAGAAUAUGCGCUCAUGUAUGAACAAAACUAAAAUAAACAAACUUUGAGGCCAUAGCAUGUGCUACAAAAAUGUUAACAAUUUUUUUAAUAAUUUGUGGUAGCUUGUUCAAAUUCUACUGCAAGGAUUUCAGAUAUGUAUGUAUACUCAAAGUUUCAUAGAUAUUUGUGUGCAAAAUUAAUCUCCCGGUUUCAGAUACGUGUGUAUGCAAACUUAAUCGAUUCCUGGUGCUACUCCUAGUGCACACUUAUUAGAUAUACAGAAAUCAUGGUUAAAAUUCACAUGUACAUGUCCUGGUCCAGUCAAUCACUUACCUUCGUGAUUGCAUCCAUGUCAUGAAGCAGGACAUGGCUGAAUUGGCCUUCACUCACACCAACCAUGUAUAUGAGAAUGAUCAGUCAGCCAAUGAGGUCCAUUGAUUGCACAAGAUGAAAAGAACAUCCUGAAUUUGGGCACAUAUAUACCUAUAGAAAUAGCAGCAUCUCAAUCACUGUAUAAUCAGCAAGCACACAUAGCAGCAGUAAUAAGAACUCUCUGAAUCACAAACACUAAUCAGCACCCCUCUAUGCCAAUCUAUCUCCAACGGAUGAAACAACAAUAUCUCACUCAUCUCAGACGAAUCCUCUCCCAUCUCCCUCUCUCUGAAUCUCAUAUCACCUGAAGCAUAACAUGAGCUCGUUAAUAGACCAACCAAUUUCAUGUUUUUUCUAAUAAAAAGGAAGAGCCAAACUGUAUCUUAUCAUAUGAGGAGAAGAAAAAUAUAAGGGGUCAUACUUAUUCUGCGCCUAUUACGCUGGACCACACCACAUCUUCCAACAUGCUAUCCAAGACUAGCACUAGAAGAUGAAACACACAUAAUGUGUGUGAUGAACAACGGGUUUUAAGGCCAAACACACAUCAGGACGCUGAUAUAAGCCGACGGUACAUUCCCCACGGAGGAGGGAAACUGAGGAAUAAGCCAGCAGCCCCCUCACCUCCAGUACAAGGCUGUUCUCCGGAGAUAUAUGAGAAAGGCAAGCAUCGCGACCCUGCCAUUUACUCGAAGCUACGGGACACACACAGGAUAAAUAAAGAGAAAAACCAACAUCCCCUUUCUUUGCUCCCUUGAGCGUUGGCACAUAAUAAUGCGCUUGAUUGGGACAUGGGUUAACUGAAAUGUUGUGACGUGGUAAUUCCAUGAUGGAGGAAGUACUAGCUAGUACUCCCUCAGUUCCUAAAUAUAUGUCUUUUUAGAGGUUCCACUAGUGGGCUAUAUAUGGUUAUAUAUAGACAUACUUUAGAGUGUAUAUUCAUUCAUUUUACUCCGUAUGUAGACCCCUAGUGAAAUCUUUUAAAAGACUUAUAUUUAGGAACGGAGGGAGUACAUACACACAUGUCACACCGAGACAGAAUCCCCACACCCGCUCUGUUUACCGAAUGGAGGGAGGAAGUGACGAGAUCCCCUGUCCAUCCCUGUUGAGGGCUCAGCACCAUGCAGCACGGGCGGACCUAACGAGGCUCGCAGGUUGGGUUCAAGAUUCCGAGGGUACGGCUGGGUAGGGUUAGCAUGUCGCACCGCUAGAAGUAAAAGAAACAAAACAAGAGGGAAAAAAUAACGGAGAAGGAAGGGAGCAUAUCGGAUGAACCAGCCCAACGGAUGAAGAAGCAGCAAGCAAAUAUAGAGGCAUCUCCCUCUUGGCUCUCUCCCCACCCCCAAAUCGAGCCCACCGUCGCUCCCGUCAUCCCCUUCAACAGCGGCAAUGAGUCUGGGACACAUGUCCAUCCCGCUCGGCUCUCUCCCCACCGCAGGGGAUACAUCGCAUCCCCGUGUGCAGCCCCGGCGACCGUGGCACGCCCUCUAUCUACAUCCUGGCAGUGUCGCCUCUCCCUCCUCCAACUUUCUAUGCUUUGCUCGAUCUAAGAGAAAAUCAAGGGUAGGACGGACCUGUGAUGCGGAGGACAUGACGUGGUGACGGGAACGAUCUGCCCGGAGGUGGAGGCGGGAAUGAUCUGCUAUUUGUACUCCUUGAGACGCGCCUUGAGCUCAUGGUCCUCCUCCGACUGCGAAAGGCUUGAAACACGAGUCACGCGACCACACCCGUAAGAGAGAGGAUGAGUGGCGCCCCCGCCCCAUGGGAAGAAAGCAGAGGAAGAGAAGGGGGGAAGCUCUGGGGUCGUCGUUGCUCACCGGGUUGUCCCCCUUCGUCUUCCCCUUUCCCUUGGCCGGCUGUGGCAGGGCGUGGGAGGCGGCAUGAACUCUGUCGCCGCCACUAGCAUCCUCGUGCGACGAGGGAGAGCAGAUUAGGAUUUGGAUCUCCGUCUGGAUCGGGGGAGGAUAGGGACUGAGGGAGGAGGCGGCGGAAGGAAGUUAAACGAGGGAGCAGAGGGUGUCGUGCACUGCGUUUAGGUUUAGCUAUAUGAGAGGCGAGUGAGAGGCGAGUGAGAGACGUUGGAUCCGCAG
rnacentral:lncRNA from 1 species